rnacentral:rRNA from 1 species
GAUACUGUUGAGCUAGAGUAGGUGAGAGGGAGGUAGAAUUUCAGGUGUAGCGRUGAAAUGCGUAGAGAUCUGAAGGAAUACCGAUGGCGAAGGCAGCCUCCUGGCAUCAUACUGACACUGAGGCUCGAAAGCGUGGGUAGCAAACAGGAUUAGAUACCCUGGUAGUCCACGCCGUAAACGAUGUCUACUAGUCGUUGGGUCCCUUGAGGACUUAGUGACGCAGCUAACGCAAUAAGUAGACCGCCUGGGGAGUACGGCCGCAAGGUUAAAACUCAAAUGAAUUGWCGGGGGCCCGCACAAGCGGUGGAGCAUGUGGUUUAAUUCGAUGCAACGCGAAGAACCUUACCUGGUCUUGACAUAUCUAGAAUCCUGCAGAGAUGCGGGAGYGCCUUCGGGAAUUAGAAUACAGGUGCUGCAUKGCUGUCGUCAGCUCGUGUCGUGAGAUGUUGGGUUAAGUCCCGCAACGAGCGCAACCCUUGUCCUUAGUUACCAGCGGGUUAAGCCGGGAACUCUAAGGAUACUGCCAGUGACAAACUGGAGGAAGGCGGGGACGACGUCAAGUCAUCAUGGCCCUUACGACCAGGGCUACACACGUGCUACAAUGGUAGGUACAGAGGGCAGCUACACAGCGAUGUGAUGCGAAUCUCAAAAAGCCUAUCGUAGUCCAGAUUGGAGUCUGCAACUCGACUCCAUGAAGUAGGAAUCGCUAGUAAUCGCGGAUCAGAAUGCCGCGGUGAAUACGUUCCCGGGCCUUGUACACACCGCCCGUCACACCAUGGGAGUUGAUUGCACCAGAAGUGGUUAGCCUAACCGUAAGGAAG